UACAGAGGUCCCAAGCGUUGUUCGGAUUCACUGGGCGUAAAGGGUGCGUAGGUGGCCAGGUAAGUUCGGUGCGAAAGCUCGGAGCUUAACUCCGAAAUGGCAUUGAAUACUAUCUGGCUAGAGGGUCGGAGGGGAGACUGGAAUUCUCGGUGUAGCAGUGAAAUGCGUAGAUAUCGAGAGGAACACCAGUGGCGAAGGCGAGUCUCUGGACGACUCCUGACACUGAGGCACGAAAGCCAGGGGAGCAAACAGG
rnacentral:rRNA from 1 species